ACGGGUGAGUAACACGUGGGGAUCUGCCCUGAAGAGCGGGACAACCCGAGGAAACUCGGGCUAAUACCGCAUACUACUCUGAGGAGGAAAGGCUAGGUAGCAAUAUCUGGCGCUUUAGGAGGAACCUGCGUCCGAUUAGCUAGUUGGUUAGGUAAAAGCUGACCAAGGCGAAGAUCGGUAGCUGGUCUGAGAGGAUGAUCAGCCACACUGGGACUGAGACACGGCCCAGACUCCUACGGGAGGCAGCAGUGGGGAAUAUUGGACAAUGGGGGCAACCCUGAUCCAGCAAUGCCGCGUGUGUGAAGAAGGCCUUCGGGUUGUAAAGCACUUUAGUUGGGGAAGAAGUAAUGGCGUUUAAGAGAUACCAUUGUUGACGGUACCCAAAGAAUAAGCACCGGCUAACUCUGUGCCAGCAGCCGCGGUAAUACAGAGGGUGCGAGCGUUAAUCGGAAUUACUGGGCGUAAAGGGCGCGUAGGCGGGUCAUUAAGUGAGUAGUGAAAUCCCCGGGCUUAACCUGGGCAUGGCGACCUAUACUGAUGAUCUGGAGUAUGGUAGAGGGUAGUGGAAUUUCCGGUG
rnacentral:rRNA from 1 species